rnacentral:rRNA from 1 species
AUUGAACGCUGGCGGCAUGCUUUACACAUGCAAGUCGAACGGCAGCACGGACUUCGGUCUGGUGGCGAGUGGCGAACGGGUGAGUAAUACAUCGGAACGUGCCCAGUUGUGGGGGAUAACUACUCGAAAGAGUAGCUAAUACCGCAUGAGAACUGAGGUUGAAAGCAGGGGAUCGUAAGACCUUGCGCAACUGGAGCGGCCGAUGGCAGAUUAGGUAGUUGGUGGGAUAAAAGCUUACCAAGCCGACGAUCUGUAGCUGGUCUGAGAGGACGACCAGCCACACUGAGACUGAGACACGGCCCAGACUCCUACGGGAGGCAGCAGUGGGGAAUUUUGGACAAUGGGCGAAAGCCUGAUCCAGCAAUGCCGCGUGCAGGAUGAAGGCCUUCGGGUUGUAAACUGCUUUUGUACGGAACGAAAAGCUUCGGGUUAAUACCCUGGAGUCAUGACGGUACCGUAAGAAUAAGCACCGGCUAACUACGUGCCAGCAGCCGCGGUAACAC